rnacentral:rRNA from 1 species
UACGUAGGUGGCAAGCGUUGUCCGGAUUUACUGGGCGUAAAGAGCGCGCAGGCGGUCGUUCAAGUCGCGUGUGAAAGCCCCCGGCUCAACUGGGGAGGGUCACGCGAUACUGAUCGACUCGAAGGCAGGAGAGGGUAGUGGAAUUCCCGGUGUAGUGGUGGAAUGCGUAGAUAUCGGGAGGAACACCGGUGGCGAAGGCGGGUCUCUGGGCCGAUACUGACGCUGAGGAGCGAAAGCGUGGGGAGCGAACAGG